UACGUAGGGGGCAAGCGUUGUCCGGAAUCAUUGGGCGUAAAGCGCGCGUAGGCGGCCAGAUAAGUCCGGUGUGAAAGUCACAGGCUCAACCUGUGAAUGCCGCUGGAAACUGUCUGGCUUGAGUCCGGAAGGGGCGAGUGGAAUUCCUGGUGUAGCGGUGAAAUGCGCAGAUAUCAAGAGGAACACCAAUGGCGAAGGCAGCUCGCUGGAACGGGACUGACGCUGAGACGCGAAAGCGUGGGGAGCGAACAGG
rnacentral:rRNA from 1 species